AUACGUAGGGGGCGAAGCGUUGUCCGGAUUUACUGGGUGUAAAGGGCGGCGCAGGCGGGAUAAAAAGUACAGAGGUGAAAUCCUACAGCUUAACUGUAGAACUGCCUUUGAUACUUUUAUUCUUGAGUUCGGGAGAGAGAGACGGAAUUCCAGGUGUAGUGGUGAAAUACGUAGAUAUCUGGAAGAACACCAGUUGCGAAGGCGGUCUCUUGGUCCGAUACUGACGCUGAGGCGCG
rnacentral:rRNA from 1 species